GGUGAUUAAGAAGAGGGGAACAGGGAGUCAGAGCUCAUUCCUCAUCGUCUCUCUCCAUUCCCCAAUCUCAAAUCAGAAGAAAUCCGGAGGGGGAGAAGAGAGGGCGAGCUGCAAGGUUCUCUUCAACGAAUCAGAGGACGAGAGAGAGAGGAUGGCCGGCGCUGCUGUUGGAGAGAUGGUGUGCAGAGUUUGUUUGAGCCCUUGCUACCGCGAGAGCAGGACAAGUGGGAUGAGCAUGUUUGUCUGGAAUGAGUUCAAAAACGCAGGGGUUGUGCCAUUCAACGAAAGAGUUGGUUUCAACGACUUGACAGGGGAUACACUGAAGUUUAAGGCAAACAAACGAACAUACACCGUUAAGUGUCACAAGGGGCCCACAAAGAGCGCAAUGUAUGGUAGUGGAUGGAGGAAAUUUGUUGCAGACAACAAGUUGGGGAAGGGUCAGCUAGUUCUCUUCUACUUGGACCAGCCUUCCCCAAGGGCAGUUUUUCUGUGUGAUUCAAUUCGAAAUGGUGCCGAAGAUGAAGGAUCUGAGGGUGAGAAUGACUACAUGGAAGUCUCAGAUGAAGAAGACGAGGAUAUACAAGCUGACAACGUACAAUGCUGACGGUGAUGAUAUUGUUCGCACUAGGGGGGCUUGAGUCGACUCAGGAAGAGGAGUCAGAUCUAGAUAGGCUGCUUCCGCUCAACAAUGGGUUCAUAGGGUUGGCAUUUGUGCACCGCCUCAUGAGGACUAAUGUUCUUUUGGGAAGCAUGGUAUUGAAUUACAGGGUCAUGAUAGUAGAGCUGCAGGUCAUUCAUGAAGCAGGAACUUAAAGAGGGCACAAGUAAUCUUUUUUUUUUCAAGAAAAGCUCGUACAUGUGGUGCAAAUGCACUUGGAGAUGGUUGGAAUGCCAUAUUCAUCGCAGGCUGUUGUUGCUGCACAUACUGGACACCAAGGUAUGGCUGCCAUGGAAACACAAAUCAUGCUUAUGUCAGUUUCUGGGAUGGUGACACAACUCGAACAUAUGUAUUUACAAUCUAAGAGAUUUUUUGUUUUCGCAUUUUUUUAUGUUACUUGGACUGGGGUCACUAAAUUAUGUGGAGCUGGAGCAUGACUGCUUGGAAAUCUCUGUGCCAAAGUAUUCACUGGCUGCUACACGAAAUGCAGAAGACAAGAAACUUGAACAACACGCUGAGACAAAGUUGGAGUUUUCUGACAGAGGAACGUACAACUGGGAGAGAAGCAAAAAGUUUUCCUGUCGUUUAGCUGUACAUGGGCCUUUUGCUCUCCUGUUGUGUGUUUGCUGCGUUCAUGGGCAGGGACACAGGUACAGCGGGCCAAACAAACAGCAAAAACAAAAAACAAACAAGCAAGCAAAGCCCACACCAUAAGCCCAUCACGGGGAAAUUAAAACCCAUCAGGGAGGGACGCUAAACAGGCCUAAUCUGUCAGGGUCUCAGUCGACUGAGACCUAGACAAUCCCUUUUUCUUUUCUCCCCGGUGCAUGCAUCCCUCGUCCUUCUAUUUUUACAUACACAGUAGAAUCGUGGAUGCUCGCACACAAACACUGAAAUCUUUUCCCAAUUUUACUUCGAAUUUUUGGCACUGUUCAAAUUGGGAGAGAGAGUGGGGGGAUAGAGCCACUGUUAGACUUAGAGAUAUUUGAUUGUAAUCUUAACUACUUAUCUCUUCCUCUCCCUGUUAACCUCCUAUCCUUAUCCUGCCGUAUCCUAGCUAUCGGUACGAUCGUUGUAAACCACGGCAGGGGUUGUUCCUGCCCUCAAUCAAUAAAUACUCGCGGCUCUUCUACGGAGGAGUAGGAAC